CGCGGUGGAACGUGCCCUUCAGUUCGGAAUAACCCAGGGAAACUUGGGCUAAUACCGGAUACGUGCGAGAGCAGAAAGAUUUAUCGCUGAAGGAUCGGCCCGCGUCUGAUUAGCUAGUUGGUAGGGUAAUGGCCUACCAAGGCGACGAUCAGUAGCUGGUCUGAGAGGAUGAUCAGCCACAUUGGGACUGAGACACGGCCAAACUCCUACGGGAGGCAGCAGUGGGGAAUAUUGGACAAUGGGCGAAAGCCUGAUCCAGCAAUGCCGCGUGAGUGAUGAAGGCCUUAGGGUUGUAAAGCUCUUUUACCCGGGAUGAUAAUGACAGUACCGGGAGAAUAAGCCCCGGCUAACUCCGUGCCAGCCGCCGCGG
rnacentral:rRNA from 1 species